rfam:Myotis lucifugus cont2.34042, whole genome shotgun sequence.
AACCCCUGGCAGUGGGCCAGGAGACACCCAAUUGGUGGUGUUGCUUUUAUAUCAGUCAGGGGCAAAGCAGAUGUACAGUCUUUAGUUCAUCCUAGCUUGAUGCCUGUGUCGGUGGUCAGAGCUGUUUCAUGCCCGAGGCACAUUA